rnacentral:rRNA from 1 species
ACCUACGGGACGCAGCAGUGAGGAAUAUUGGUCAAUGGUCGGGAGACUGAACCAGCCAAGCCGCGUGAGGGAUGAAGGUACAGAGUAUCGUAAACCUCUUUUGUCAGGGGACAAAGGCGGGGACGUGUCCCCGGAUGAGUGUACCUGAAGAAAAAGCAUCGGCUAACUCCGUGCCAGCAGCCGCGGUAAUACAGAGGAUGCGAGCGUUAUCCGGAUUUAUUGGGUUUAAAGGGUGCGCAGGCGGUCUGUUAAGUCAGCGGUCAGAGCCCGGGGCUCAACCCCGGCCCGCCGUUGAAACUGGCGGG